UACGAAGGGGGCUAGCGUUGCUCGGAAUCACUGGGCGUAAAGGGUGCGUAGGCGGGUUUUUAAGUCAGAGGUGAAAUCCUGGAGCUCAACUCCAGAACUGCCUUUGAUACUGAAAGUCUUGAGUAUGGGAGAGGUGAGUGGAACUGCGAGUGUAGAGGUGAAAUUCGUAGAUAUUCGCAAGAACACCAGUGGCGAAGGCGGCUCACUGGCCCAUUACUGACGCUGAGGCACGAAAGGAUUGGUAGCAAAGCGG
rnacentral:rRNA from 1 species